rnacentral:rRNA from 1 species
CCUACGGGAGGCAGCAGUGGGGAAUAUUGCACAAUGAGGGGAACCCUGAUGCAGCGACGCCGCGUGAGCGAUGAAGUAUUUCGGUAUGUAAAGCUCUAUCAGCAGGGAAGAAAAUGACGGUACCUGACUAAGAAGCCCCUGCCAAAUACGUGCCAGCAGCCGCGGUAAUACGUAGGGGGCAAGCGUUAUCCAGUUCUACUGGGUGUAAAGGGAGCGUAGACGGCUGUGCAAGGCUGGAGGGAAAGGCAUGGGGUCAACCUGUGGACAGAUUUGGAAACUGUGCGGCUUGAGUGUCGGAGAGGCAAGUGGAAUUCCAAGUGAAGCGGUGAAAUGCGUAGAUAUUAGGAGGAACACCAGAGGCGAAGGCGGCUUGCUGGAUGAAGACUGACGCUGAGGCUCGAAAGCGUGGGGAGCAAACAGGAUUAGAUACCCGAGUAGUC